rnacentral:tRNA from 1 species
GCACACGUGGCGUAAUUGGUAGCCGCGCCAGACUUAGGAUCUGGUCCGCGAGGGUGGGGGUUCGAGUCCCUUCGUGUGUA